rnacentral:rRNA from 1 species
GACGAACGCUGGCGGCGCGCCUAACACAUGCAAGUCGAACGGAGUUUCCCCUUCGGGGGGAGCUUAGUGGCGGACGGGUGAGUAACACGUGAGGAACCUGCCUUUGAGAGCGGGAUACCGUCUGGAAACGGACGUUAAUACCGCAUAAUGCAGCGAGGCCACAUGGCCAUGCUGCCAAAGAUUUAUCGCUCAAAGAUGGCCUCGCGCCUGAUUAGAUAGUUGGCGGGGUAACGGCCCACCAAGUCUGCGAUCAGUAGCCGGACUGAGAGGUCGAACGGCCACAUUGGGACUGAGAUACGGCCCAGACUCCUACGGGAGGCAGCAGUGGGGGAUAUUGCACAAUGGGCGAAAGCCUGAUGCAGCGACGCCGCGUGAGGGAAGACGGUUUUCGGAUUGUAAACCUCUGUCUUUCGGGGACGAAACAAGACGGUACCCGAGGAGGAAGCCACGGCUAACUACGUGCCAGCAGCCGCGGUAAACGUAGCGUG